AACGAACGCUGGCGGCAGGCUUAACACAUGCAAGUCGAGCGGAGAUGAGGUGCUUGCACCUUAUCUUAGCGGCGGACGGGUGAGUAAUGCUUAGGAAUCUGCCUAUUAGUGGGGGACAACAUUCCGAAAGGAAUGCUAAUACCGCAUACGUCCUACGGGAGAAAGCAGGGGAUCUUCGGACCUUGCGCUAAUGGAUGAGCCUAAGUCGGAUUAGCUAGUUGGUGGGGUAAAGGCCUACCAAGGCGACGAUCUGUAGCGGGUCUGAGAGGAUGAUCCGCCACACGUGGACUGAGACACGGCCCAGACUCCUACGGGAGGCAGCAGUGGGGAAUAUUGGACAAUGGGGGGAACCCUGAUCCAGCCAUGCCGCGUGUGCGAAGAAGGCCUUAUGGUUGUAAAGCACUUUAAGCGAGGAGGAGGCUACUGAGACUAAUACUCUUGGAUAGUGGACGUUACUCGCAGAAUAAGCACCGGCUAACUCUGUGCCAGCCGCCGCCGUAACAC
rnacentral:rRNA from 1 species